rnacentral:lncRNA from 14 species
AGAUGCAUCUGGUCUGUGAAAUGAAUGAUGUUUAUUUUUAAAUCCAUCUGCUCUUAAAUAGCUGCAACUCCAAAGUACACAAAUAUAAUAUCUCACUGUUCAUGAGGAAGUAAAAUACUUGCAGCCAACUGCUCAGUUGAAGGAUUCUCAUGAACUUUAAUGGUCUUUGGAUAUGGUCCUCAGUAUGAUCUCAUGCUAAUGUAGAACGGGUUCCUGGACAGAAACAAAGCAGAAUGAUGUGAGGUAUUAAGAACUGGUUAUUAAAAAAAAAUUAAAUGCUGUUUAUAGUAUCUUGAAAAACAGUACUGAAAAAUGCUGCUGUUUCCAGAGGGCGAAUAACAGGGGCCAGCAGCCUAAGAGAGGUGCUGUGAUCACCAAAAAAAUGUAGACAUACCAAGCUCAUAAACUCAGUAUGGCAGAAGGAGACCAAGCCAGAGCUGUGCAGAGCCCCAGCAGAGCAGCAAAGACUCUGUGCCCAACUGUACUGCUAGGCUCCCCUGUACAACUGCCCUGAGGAGAGCAGUGGUGGCCACUGGCAGGGCCCAGCUACGUGUCAUCCAUCAGGGUGCCUACAGUAACCAGUGGCAUGGCAUGCUUGCACCUCAGUGUUUCUGCCAGGAGCCUGCCUUCGAAGAACAGAAAGACUUCACCAGGCUGAAUGCUGAACCUGUGGAAAGCAUAUUACACUGGAAGAGCUGCUUCAUUUACCUGUCAGUCACACACCAUCCCUCUAACUGCAGCUCUCGUAUGGAACAGUUCCUGCUAUAUACCCUGAUUUUGCCUUCCCCCAUCGGCUUCUCCAAAGCCACCACAUCAAGCCAGCAAACAUCCUUGCUUUUACGAAGAGGAAUGAAUAAACAACUCUUGAUAAUUCCAGCAACUGAACAGUAUGGCAGGGUAUUUAUGCAUUGCACUUACAGGAUAAAGUUGCUACUUUUCCAGCAUCAUGGUGAUUGUCAUGUUUGAGGUUAAAAAUUAGCAAUGUAGUUCUAAAACAGCAGCCCAAAACCAUACAGGGCAAAGAACCUUUGUAUUGAACAAGAUGCUGUUUUUCUUCACAGACUGUUGGUGGCUGUUUAGCUAACAGUGGCUUCAGAGAGGAGCCAGAGGGUGUCUGGGCUAACCGUGCUUUCCCUGCCACAUUAGGUAGCUGAUCCUGCAUCACUGUUGUCAGUGCUGA